UGAGUGCAUUUAUAGAUUGUCGUGUGUUAUAGGGGCCCAGCUGAGAGGGACCACACAAAGCGCAAGACAGGGCCGUCAGAGAUGUCAGCCUCUCCUUGGUCCCCCAGGCAGCCAAACCUCUGCCAGGAGCCUGCACUGAGGACAGCAGCAGAGACUAAGCAGUGUCAGGAGAAUGACAGCCACUUGUUCCCAAGGGCUGAACAGGAGCACUAAACCAGAAGGAAGAAGACCUGGGUUCUUUUCCCACCCACAUCACUGGUGAUCCACACGACCUUGGGUGCCUAAAGAGAACAAAUGGAGAUGGGUGUCUGUUUACAAAGCCGAGCAGCAACGAUUUCAAGUAUCUGCUUUGGGUAACUUUCUGCAUUCUCCAAAGUUGAUCCUUCCAGUGUGGUAUAAACACAGUUGUUGGGCAAUGUUUAAAGUCAAUGAGUCUUAGAUUACCAUCGCAAAAGUCAAUUAACAAGGCAAUUUCUUCCCUUGAUUUGUAUUUGUAUAUUAUUAAUGAACUACAAGACCUCCUAGUGAGGUAAAUUAGCCUAGGUAACUGGGGAGCAGAGUACAAACAUUUCUUUUUUCUUUAAUGGCCCCAAACAUUUAUCUCAUACAGAGAAAACAAUAUACAAGUCCAGGGAGGGCUCCCUGUUCCUGCAGCCAAGGAAGCACACCAGAGCAGCUCUGAUAAAUAUUGAUGUCUGUUUAUCAAAAUGCCACAGGCCGUCCUGGCUAGCUGCCACCUCCUCCCACCCUCGUGCAGUCCUAACUGGCAGGACUCACUAUGUAAGGAGGAGAUACAGAAACCUCAACUGCCAUUGCUGAAGGACUUUUAGCCUUUGUUUCCUGAAUACAAAAAAUAAAAAUGAAAAAUUGUCCUGACCUACAAGGGUUGGUGCCAGCCAAAGGACCAACAUCCUCUCUUUAAUGAGAGGGCAGAAAUAUAGACGCUUAUGUACAAAGAGAAUGGUAAUUGAAGAGAUCUCUGCCUCACUGAAAUAAGCAGCUUAGGGAUAUGUGAAUGCUCCCCAAAAAUGCUGCCUUGUUACAAAAUCAAUGCCAUUAAGAAAUAAAUUGUGCUACAUGUAAGUUCCAGAGGAUUAACACAGAGACAUUGAUAGCCACCAUUCGACAUGUCAUGAUUGAGUUAUGUGCAAGGCCAUGUGAAGAAUACCAUUAAUUUAAUCCCGUUUACCUAUUUUUAAGUAACACUGUUCAGCCCCAAAAUGCUGGGGGACUGAUAGCAGAGUAAAAUUUAAUAAUUCAUGUGUUAA